rnacentral:lncRNA from 1 species
UGAUGAUUCUUAUAGACAACACUCUUGUUUUCAUGGAGUUUAGAGAUAAUAAUCAGACAGUAAGCAAACGUAAAUAAAUAAAAAGCACAUUGUGAUAGGUUCUAUACAAGGAAUUAAAGCAAAGUGAUAUAAUGAGAUUGAUGUGUAUGGAGAGGGUUACAUUUUAUUGGGUGUUCAUGAGAGACUUCGUUGGGGUAUGAUAUUUAAGCCCAGCUAUAAGCUGACAAGAAAAACUGCAUGUGAAGUCAGGGAAGAAAAAGUUCAGAAGAUAAAAUAGCUAUGACAAAGGCCUUUGGGCAGAAAUGGAAAGAGUGCCUCAGCUGGAACAGCAUGGCUAAGGAAGCAUUCGAACAUGGAAUAAAUAAGGAGAGGAAGUCCUACAACCUCAAGGAGUUGAAUUCUGUCAUCAACCAGUUGGGUUGGAAGAGAACCCAGAGCUGAUACGAGAGUGCAAUCUGGGCACACACCUUGAUUUCAGCCUGGUAAGGCUCUAAGCAAAGGACCCAGCUAAAGUUUAUCCAGACUCAUGACCAAAUGAAAACCUUGCAGUUUAAACAGAUGCGUGUUUUACAUUGCUAAGGUGGUGAUUUGUUAUAUAGCAAUAGAAAAUUAAUGCAUCCAGUUUCAAGUUUCGUUUAUAAAUCUUUCCUUGUUUACAUUCUUUCUUAAAGGCUAACAACUGUAAUUAUAAUAUCUCUGUUAAAUUAAAAUAAUCUUUGGGAACAUCAAACAUGUAAUAGGUAAUAUCUUUAGGGGUCACUGAUGUGUGUUCAACUUUCCAGUUGUGCUACAAUAAUUGGACCUAUAUGAAAGGACUUUUCAUUUUUUUUAAAUUAAUUUUCAUAGUUUUGUUUUCCCUAUUAUUUAUUAUUAUUGUUGCUAUUGGUGUGCACGCCUGAUUCUUGUAGCCAAUUAUAUAUCGGUAUGCUCUAAUCUGUUAUGAGUCGGGAGACUAGAGGACCAGGCUUUUUGUAUUGGGUCUACAAUGAGAAUACCUAGGCUAUAAACUACGUUAUGACAGUGUAUGAUGAAAUUAAGCUAUCCUUUUUGUUUUCUCAGUACUUCUCAGUAUUUAAAGUCAUCAGAAAAAAAUGACAUUUGUUUAAAUAAAAAGACACAAUUGUAAGAAUACCAGUUGGUUGUUGAUAUUUUAGGUUAUUUCUUUAAAAAUUAUGAUUGCCUGUUCUCUACAUUAAAAGAACAUUGCUGGGCAGAAUAACUGGAUUCAAGGUAAUGUCUUUGUCUUCACAUAGUCUUUACUCUCAAGUGACUCCAGUGAGUCAGCAAAACAUGUGUGGGCUUCAGAAAGAACGAUUCCACCAUAAUUUGCAAAUUAGAACAGUGGGAUAUGCUAUGUACUACUUUCCAAGUCUGCACUUCACAUAUCAUUUUAAUGACCCAUCAAUAGAAAAUACGUGUCAUGAUUUAUCUUUCCAGUCAUGGCAAUUUAGGUAAAAGGUUGGAAAAAUACCUAUACGAAUAGUGGUAUUAGAAAGGAACAGGGACAAAGAUAAGCUAGGGUUACCUUUUGAAAAAAAAUGGGGAGAAUCUUGACAAAAGAUUACUGGGAAGCAUCAAAUUUCAAGUAUUUAAAUCUUUAAAAUGCAUCCUCAUAGUUUCAUAUUGUCUUUUUUUUUCCUUUCUAUGUACUCUCUGGACCAAACAGGGUAUGUCUGUCUGAAUAACUCCAUGACUUACUCAGGUAAUCGUAUCAGAAAACUUUCUGGCAAAGUUUAGAUUUAGGGGAUCUAUGGAGAUUUCUGUAUCCAUAACCACUUUCUGCAAUGCACACAUCUUAAUGCACAUAUCUAAUGCAGUCAGUCACAUUAUCAUUUUAGCUUUCUUUGUGAAUGAGAAAAAUUUCAUUUCCCCUCCUGUUUGCAGAUACAUAAAGUGAUAAAUGUGAUGGAAUGCUUUGUUAGCACCCUGCCACAUGGAAUAGUCCUCCUGGUUUGACUCUAUUUUCUCCUCUUCCUCUUAUUUAAAACUUAAGUGAUCUUCUUUGGUAUAGUACUGGGUAGAAUAUCAAUUUAAAAAUAAAAUAAAUAUAAUAUUUUAAAUGACGUUAAUGCUGUUCUGCUGAUAUUACUUCCAAAAUAAAAAAGUAGUCGGGACUAAUCCUGCCAAGUUUCACUGUAAAAUUAAGUAUUACUGUCUUAAUUAUCUGUGCUAGUAUGGAAAAUAAAUGGACUGCACACAUGAUUAUGGUGAUUAAGGAUGUUGUAUCAUUCUCAUUCACUUUUAGCCUAUUUUUUUCUUUUACUUUUUGAUAACUAAGAACCGAAUACUUGUUUUUUUGUUGCUUUAAAUCUGAGAUUCUUAAAUAAUGCAGGCAAAAAUAAUCACUACUACCAAUACCAAUCCACCUCCAGAAAAUGGGUAUUUCUGCCGUAUGAACAACUAGAGAAGGUACACCUGCAAGCUUCCAUCAUAAACAACCAGGGAAUGUAAAAGAGCAGCCUUUUUGUAGCAAAGCCAUACUGUAACUGAAAUAGCAAUCGCCUUCCAGAGAACAAAGGCACUGCCAUGAAAAGUCCAAGUAUUUGCUCUUUGGCAACAUUCCCCCAAUUCUGCAGACAUGUUUAGAAAGAAUGCCUACACCUCCUAUUCAGAAAUUAAAAGGCAGCUCUUCUAAGCUUUGAAAGGUAAUAUUUGGGUUGUAUCAGAGUCUGGCAUUUUAUUUCUUUGUUCUGCUUGGGAUUUCAUAUUGACAUACAAAUCAUUUAGUUUCUUUAAGUAUUUUAAAGUAAUGUCUUUAAAAUACUCUUUAAGUAAUUCUUUUAAGUGCUUUAAGUAUUAAAUGUAUAAGAUAGCUUUAGAUGUGGGGAUUAAAAGUGACAUGAGAGGAAAUUGUUAUCAUUUGAGAGGUUUUAUUUAAACAUCAUGAACUCACAUAGUAUUCACUAAGACUUUUAUUUUUAAGGUUCUCAAACCUAUGCAUUUAAAGAAUAAUUUUUAGCAAUUUUCAUAAUAUAAUAAAAAUUGAUGUUAUGUUUCCUUACACAUGAGAUUACUUCUUACAGGAACUCAAACGAGAAAGCAAAUGACAACAAAAAUACUUUCUUUCAGUAAUCAUGGAAGCACAGGGUUUUGGUAAGUUAUCACACAUAAUUUAAAGAAAAUCUGAGUGCAAAACAACCUUAUUUUAAACUAUAAUGUGGUCACUUUCUCCUCAGUUCUUGACUAUGGCUUCCCCCAUAGAUUUUGAUUUUCUUUCACUCAUCAUGUCCUAUUUAUUUGCAAGGUUAAAUUUUAUAAUAGUCUAAAUUUUAUUAACAUUUAAAAAUAUGAUUACCUCUCAGGAUUAUCAUUAUUACAAUAUCAUUCUUAAAUUACACCACACAGAUUAGAAAAAGAAUAAUCUGGCACACAGAGUCAGAUUGAGGUUCAGAUUUUGACCUUAACACUUAUAUAAUUUGUGGCCUCAGUUUUUGUGAUGGUUAAUAUUGAGUGUCAACUUGACUGGAUUGAAGGAUGCAGAAUAGUGCUCCUAGGUGUGUCUGCAAAGAUGUUGCCAAAGGAGAUUAACAUUUGAGUCAGUGGAAUGGGAGAAGCAGACCCACCUGCAAUCUGGGUAGGCACCAUCUAAUCAGCUGCCAAUGCAGCUAGAAUAAAGCAGGCAGAAGAAGGUAGAAAGGGCAGACUUGCUGAGUCUUCCAGCUUUCAUCCUUCUCCCAUGCUGGUUGUUUCCUGCCCUCAAACAUCAGACUCCUAGCUCUUCAGCUUCUGGACCCUUGGACAUAUACCAGUGGUUUGCCAGGGGGGUCUUGGGCCUUCAGCCACAGACUGAAAGCUGCACUGUUGGCUUCCCUACUUUUGAGAUUUUGGGGCUCAGACUGGCUUCCUUGCUCCUCAGCUUGCAGAUAGCCUAUUGUGGGACUUCACCUUGUGAUCCUGUGAGUCAAUACUCCUUAAUAAACUUCCCUUCAUAUACACAUCUAUCCUACUAGUUCUGUCCCCCUAGAGAACCAUGACUAAUACAGUCUGCUUAUAUGUAAAAUAGAAGUAAUGACUAACCAAAUUUUACUGAAUGUCUAAAAGUUACUUAAAAUGUGAAACCAGCCCAGUUGUCCAAUAGAAAUGAUGUUUAUAGAUUUUAGAAUAAACACAGAAAUGGACCCUUUUGGUCUUGAAACUCGAAACUUGUAUUUGUCUCAUCUGACUUCCUUCCUCAGGAAGCUGACUCACAGGCAAGGGACUAAAACCACAUCCAGAGAGUGAGAUGUCAGACUCCUCAUUCAUUAUUACUACUCCCGUACCCCUCCCUAAUUUCUUUCAACACUGUAGUGACAUUUCUUCUCCUGCUAUAUAAAUACCCCAAUUUUAGUUGCUCAGAGAGGUGAAUGUGAGAUUAUUCUUCUGUUCUCCCAUUUGACAUCACCCGAAUAAAAAAGCUUUCUUUCCUGACAAUACUUGUUGUCUCAGUGAUUGGCUUCCUGUGCCAGUAGCAACGGGACCUGGACCAAAUGUGGGGUUUCCAUAACAACUAUAGCUUUUCUCCAACAGUAUACAGGCCAGGUGUGGUGGCUCAUGCCUAAAGCCCAGCACAUUGAGAGGCCAAAACAGGAGGAUCUCUUGAGCCCAAGAGUUCAAGGCUGCAGUGAGCCAUGAUUAUGUCACUGCAGUCUAGCCUGGGAAAGAGUGAGGCCGUGUCUCAAUCAAUCGAUCAAAAUAAAAUGGUACAUAUCAUUUCCCUCUUCAAAUCUAUUACUUCUCCAAAAUUUCUCUUUUAGUAAGGUACAAAACAGUCUACAUAGUUUUCCAAAUAAUAAAUCAGAAGUCAUAAUUAAUUCCUGGACCAAAUUACCCCUGGACUGGGCCAAUCUAAACAUCCAGUCACCCAGGUCUGAUAAUGUUCCACCUGGACACAUCCUAAAAAUCCCCUCCUCUUCCCUUCCUCCUCUGCCACCUCAUAGUAUGGGCCACAACUCUAUUUCAUGCAAACUGCUCUUUACCCCCUUUACUGAUCUGGCUGCCUCUAGCCUUGCUCCUCUCAUAUCCAUUCUCCACUCUGCUGCCAUAGUAAUUCUAAAAAUGCCUCCAUGAUUGUGUGACUUUCCAGUUUAACACCCUUCAAAUAUUUCCCUUUGUUCUUGGAAUAGAAACAGACUCCUUAAAGUGGUUCACAGGGCAGCCUAUGAUCUGGCCCUUCCUCCCCUUCCAGCUUAUGUCUUGCAUUCUUUGUCUCUGUUAGCUCCGUGGACUCCCCAAGCUAUCUCUCCGAUCUGUUCCUUUACCUGGAAGACUCUGGUAUCUUCUUUAUCUGGCUAAAUCUUACGCAUAUUCAGGUUUCUAUUAUCAAUUCUUCCACAGGGUUUUUAUGAUGCCAACUUAGGCCUACAUCACCCUGCAUUCUCAAGAAACACUUAUUAAAUUACUUGUUACUUAUAAAAAUUACUUAUAAAAUUGUUUAUUAAAAGUCACUCUUCCCCAUUAGUAUAUGGGGAUAAAUAUGAUGGCAGCUGAGAGAGAACAGAAGAGGGGAGAAAAUCAGGAUUUUGAGGCCGUGGCGUCUACAGAAAAAGCUGUGCAGUAACCUCCUUCCCCUCCUCCUCUUGCCCCACAGGGAAGAGUAUUGCACCUGUCCUCAUCUCAAAUCCAGUGAGGGAGGUUUCCACUGUGCUAUGUGGAGUAUAUGUGCUAUGUAGGGAGUUUAUUAUAUGACCUAUGUAAUAGGAGAGAAGUGGAAAAAUAUAGCAUAACUCCCACCUAAGAAAUUUGGAGAGUAAGAACAGGUUAAUCAUUUUUGUGGUGGAAACAGCCUGCCUUCUCUCUGUGUCUGAGUAAAGCAUGCAUGAAGGUUUUUGCUGGAACAGAUGUAGGCCACAUAGGAUAAAAAGAAGAGGUCUGGGACCAUUUUAAGUUCUGUUUCAGAAAACAACCUGGAAAGGAGAAGAAUGCUUAAGAACCAAGAUUGAGUGGAAAAAGCUACCAGCAAAACCAGGGCUGGAAGGACUGGACAACCUGGGGAGUAGAAAAGAGUUUCUACUGGAAGAAAACUAGUGAUGGGAAUAUUUGAAAAACUCAGGAUAAAAUGUGGUUUCUUCUAGCAGGUCCCAGGCCAUCUUCACCAAAGAAACUCUUGUGCUUCCAUUUUCUCUUCUUCCCUCUCCAGUGCCAAUCCUAGAGUGCCAAAAGCUAUAGGAAGUAAGCUGCGUGGGGAGAGCAGAAAAGGGACAAAAGCCAUCAGAUGCUUUUUCUGGAAGAUGCUGGCUGCCAAACAGUGGCCUCAACUGUCAGAGAAGGAGAGGAAGUAUUACCUUAGAAUAAGGAUGAAAGUAUUGAUUAAUAUUUUGGAGUCCAAGAUGGCCGAAUAGGAACAGCUUGAGUCUACAGCUCCCAGCGUGAGCAAUGCAGAAGAUGGGUGAUUUCUGCAUUUCCAAAUGAGGUAUCAGGUUCAUCUCACUGGGGCUUGUAGGACAGUGGGGGCAGGACAGUGGGUGCAGCCCACUGAGCGAGAGCCAAAGUAGGGUGAGGUAUCUCCUCACCCGGGAAGCAUAAAGGGUCAGGGAAUUCCCUUUCCUAGCCAAGGGAAGCAGUGACGGAUGGCACCUGGAAAAUCGGGUCACUCCCACCCUAAUACUGUGCUUUUCCAAUGGUCUUAGCAAAUGGCACACCAGGUUAUACUCCGCACCUGGCUCGGAGGGUCCCACGCCCACAGAGCCUCACUCAUUGCUAGCACAGCAGUCUGAGAUCGAUCUGCAAGGCAGCAGUGAGUCUGGGGAAGGGGUGCCCGCCAUUGCUGAGGCUUGAGUAGGUAAACAAAGCGGCCAGGAAGCUCGAACUGGGUGGAGCCCAUGACAGCUGAAUGAGGCCUCCGUGCUUCUGUAGACUCCACCUCUGGGGGCAGGGCAUAGCCAAAAGGCAGACUUAAAUGUCCCUGUCUGACAGCUUUGAAGAGAGUAGUGGUUCUCCCAACACAGAGUCUGAGAUCUGAGAAUGGAUAGACAGCCCCCUCAAGUGGGUACCUGACCCCCGAGUAGCCUAACUGGGAGGCACCCUCCAGUAGGGGCAGACUGACACCUCACACAGCCGGGUACCCCGCUGAGAUGAAGCUUCCAGGGGAACAAUCAGGCAGCAACGUUUGCUGUUCAGCAAUAUUUGCUGUUCUGCAGCCACCACUGCUGAUACCCAGGCGAACAGGAUUUGGAGUGGACCUCCAGCAAACUCCAAAAGACCUGCA